rnacentral:rRNA from 1 species
AGAGCGAACGCUGGCGGCAGGCUUAACACAUGCAAGUCGAGCGCCCCGCAAGGGGAGCGGCAGACGGGAGAGUAACACGUGGGAACGUACCUUUCGGUUCGGAACAACCCAGGGAAACUUGGGCUAAUACCGGAUACGUCCGUAAGGAGAAAGAUUUAUCGCCGAAAAGAUCGGCCCGCGUCUGAUUAGCUAGUUGGUGAGGUAACGGCUCACCAAGGCGACGAUCAGUAGCUGGUCUGAGAGGAUGAUCAGCCUCACUGGGACUGAGACACGGCCCAGACUCCUACGGGAGGCAGCAGUGGGGAAUAUUGGACAAUGGGCGCAAGCCUGAUCCAGCCAUGCCGCGUGGGUGAUGAAGGCCCUAGGGUUGUAAAAGCCCUUUCGGCGGGAAGAUAAUGACGGUACCCGCAGAAGAAGCCCCGGCUAACUUCGCGCCAGCAGCCGC